AGUGGAUGGGGAGCAACCUAGUUGUGCGUGUGUAAAGGUAGUGCCAAGAAAAGCGAUGAUCAUGUUGAAAAUCAAUUCCCGGUACCCGAAACCGACACAGGUGGGCAAGUAGAGAAUACUAAGGGGCGCGAGGUAACUCUCUCCAAGGAACUCGGCAAAAUGACCCCGUAACUUAGGGAGAAGGGGUGCCACCGAGAGGUGGUCGCAGUGAAGAGGCCCAGGCGACUGUUUAGCAAAAACAUAGGUCUCUGCAAACUCGAAAGAGGAGGUAUAGGGGCUGACGCCUGCCCAGUGCCGGAAGGUUAAAGAAGUUGGUCAGUCUUAGGAUGAAGCUAGCGACUGAAGCCCCGGUGAACGGCGGCCGUAACUAUAACGGUCCUAAGGUAGCGAAAUUCCUUGUCGGGUAAGUUCCGACCCGCACGAAAGACGUAACGAUCUGGGCGCUGUCUCGGAGAGAGGCUCGGCGAAAUAGGAUUGUCUGUAAGAUACGGACUACCUGCAUUUGGACAGAAAGACCCUAUGAAGCUUUACUAUAGCUUGGAAUUGUGUUCGGGCUUCCUGUGCGCAGGAUAGGUGGGAGGCGUAGAAGGUAUUCUUGUGGGGAUACUGGAGCCAACGGUGAGAUACCACUCUCAGGAGGCUAGAAUUCUAACUUAAUUAAGGACAGUUUCAGGUGGGUAGUUUGACUGGGGCGGUCGCCUCCAAAAAGGUAACGGAGGCGUACAAAGGUUCCCUCAGACUGGUUGGAAAUCAGUCGAAGAGUGCAAAGGCAGAAGGGAGCUUGACUGCGAGAAGUACAGUUCGAGCAGGGUGGAAACACGGUCUUAGUGAUCCGACGGUGCUGUGUGGAAGGGCCGUCGCUCAACGGAUAAAAGUUACUCUAAGGAUAACAGGCUGAUCUCCCCCAAGAGUUCACAUCGACGGGGAGGUUUGGCACCUCGAUGUCGGCUCAUCGCAACCUGGGGCGGAAGUACGUCCCAAGGGUUGGGCUGUUCGCCCAUUAAAGCGGUACGUGAGCUGGGUUCAGAACGUCGUGAGACAGUUCGGUCCAUAUCCGAUGUAGGCGUGAGAAUAUUGAGAGGAGCCUUCCUUAGUACGAGAGGACCGGGAAGGACGCACCGCUGGUGUACCUGUUAUGAUGCCAAUUGUAAACGCAGGGUAGCCAAGUGCGGAGAGGAUAACCGCUGAAAGCAUCUAAGUGGGAAGCCCACCUCAAGAUGAGUAUUCUGGUGUAAGGUCACGGGAAGACGACCCGUAAAUAGGCACGAGGUGGAAGUGCAGAGAUGUAUGAAGCCGAAGUGUACUAAUAGACCGUCGGCUUGACC
rnacentral:rRNA from 1 species